CGCACAUUGCGCCCCUUGGUAUUCCGGGGGGCAUGCCUGUUCGAGCGUCAUUAUAACCCUCAAGCCUAGCUUGGUGUUGGAGCAUGCUACCUAGCAGCUCUUAAAAUCAGUGGCAGUGCCCUUCGGCUCUAAGCGUAGUAACUUUUCUCGCUACAGAGCCCGGAGGGUCCGCGCCAGAACCCCCAACUUUCUAUGGUUGACCUCGGAUCAGGUAGGGAUACCCGCUGAACUUAA
rnacentral:misc_RNA from 1 species